rnacentral:SRP_RNA from 1 species
GCCGGGUGUGGUGGCUCACACCUGUAAUCCCAGCACUUUGGGAGGCCAAGGUGGGCGGAUCACUUGAGGUCAGGAGUUCGAGACCAGCCUGGCCAACAUAGUGAAACCCCAUCUCUA